rnacentral:rRNA from 1 species
UACGUAGGGGGCAAGCGUUGUCCGGAUUUAUUGGGCGUAAAGAGCGUGUAGGCGGCCAUUCAGGUCAGCUGUGAAAACUCGAGGCUCAACCUCGAGACGUCGGUUGAAACCGUUUGGCUAGAGUCCGGAAGAGGAGAGUGGAAUUCCCGGUGUAGCGGUGAAAUGCGCAGAUAUCAGGAGGAACACCGAUGGCGAAGGCAGCUCGCUGGGACGUGACUGACGCUGAGACGCGAAAGCGUGGGGAGCAAACAGG